GACGAACGCUGGCGGCGUGCCUAACACAUGCAAGUCAACUUGACUGAAGGAGCAAUCUGACAGUAGAGUGGCGCAAGGGUGCGUAACGCGUAAGUAACUUGCCCAGGGUAAGGAAUAACGUCGAGAAAUCGGCGCUAAUACCUCAUAAUGCAGCGGAUCCGCAUGGAUAUGUUGUUAAAGGUUUACCGCCUUGGGAUAGGCUUGCGUCUGAUUAGCUAGUUGGUGUGGUAACGGCACACCAAGGCUACGAUCAGUAACUGGUCUGAGAGGAUGAUCAGUCACACUGGAACUGAGACACGGUCCAGACUCCUACGGGAGCAGCAGUGAGGAAUAUUGGGCAAUGCUCGAAAGAGUGACCCAGCAACGCCGCGUGGAGGAUGAAGGUAUUCUAUAUCGUAAACUCCUGUGAGAGCAGACGAAAGACAGAUUAUUAAUCUGGAUGACUGUAUGCUUAGAGGAAGCCCCGGCUAACUACGUG
rnacentral:rRNA from 1 species